rnacentral:tRNA from 1 species
GGUCGGUAUAGCUCAGUCGGUAGAGCGCAGUGCUAAUAACGCUGUGGUCCUGGGUUCGAGCCCCAGUAUGAACCA